GAUCCUGGCUCAGGACGAACGCUGGCGGCGUGCUUAACACAUGCAAGUCGAACGAAAAUACCAAGCUUGCUUGGUUGAUUAGUGGCGAACGGGUGAGUAACACGUGAGUAACCUGCCCCUUACUUUCCUGGAUAACUGCUCGAAAGGGUAGCUAAUACGGGAUAUUCUGACCAGUCUGCAUGGGUUGGUUUGGAAAGGUUGUUUUUCUGGUAAGGGAUGGGCUCGCGGCCUAUCAGCUUGUUGGUGGGGUGAUGG
rnacentral:rRNA from 1 species